GUGGGGAAUAUUGGGCAAUGGGCGCAAGCCUGACCCAGCAACGCCGCGUGAGGGAAGAAGGCCUUCGGGUUGUAAACCUCUGUCCUAUGGGAAGAACGAAAUGACGGUACCAUAGGAGGAAGCUCCGGCUAACUACGUGCCAGCAGCCGCGGUAAUACGUAGGGAGCAAGCGUUGUCCGGAAUUACUGGGCGUAAAGGGUGCGUAGGCGGUUACUUAAGUCAGAUGUGAAAUAUCAGGGCUCAACUCUGGGGCUGCAUCUGAUACUGGGCAACUAGAGUGCAGGAGAGGAAAGUGGAAUUCCUAGUGUAGCGGUGGAAUGCGUAGAUAUUAGGAGGAACACCAGUGGCGAAGGCGACUUUCUGGACUGUAACUGACGCUGAGGCACGAAAGUGUGGGGAGCAAACAGG
rnacentral:rRNA from 1 species